rnacentral:lncRNA from 1 species
UUUUUUUUUUAAAUGUUAACAGUGGUAAGAAAGUUUUGUUGUUAUUGUUAUUGUUGUUUUAACUCAAACUCACUGUUAUUCCCUAAGAAUUAAAUGUGAUUACCUAAGCAUUGCAAAACUAAAAUUAAAAUCUUUCAUCCAGUUUAAAAAAAAAGAAAGAAAGAGAAAAGAAACAUUCAGGAUUGUCUGUCUCAGCAGUCGUCUGGCCUUAAUAUCAAUAACACUUUAAAUUAAAAUAACACAUCUCCGUGCUUCAGUGUCUUUUGCCAUAGUCCACAAUGCCAGUGUAUUAAAGGUGUCUCUGUAGUUGACUUACUUAUGCACUGGCUAGUUUUAUGUCAGCUUGACACAAGCUGGAGUUACCUGAAAGGAGGGAACCUUAGUUGAGGAAUGCCUCCAUAAGAUCCAGAUGUAGAGCAUUGUCUUAAGUACUGAUUGAUGGAAGAAGACCCAGCCCAUUGUGGAUGGUGCCAUCCCUAGGGUGGUGGUCCUGGGUUCUCGUAAGAAUGCAGGCUGAGCAAGCCAUGGCAAGCAAGCCUAUAAGCAGCACUUCUCAAUGGUUUCCGCAUCAGCUCCUGCUUCCAGGUUCCUGGCCUCCUUGCUUUCAACUAUUAUAUGGAACUGUGAUUGAAAUAAAUCCUUUCCUCCCCCAAGUUGCUUUAUGUCAUGGUGUUUCAUUGCACCAAUAGUAACUCUUAAGACAUUUCCAUCCUAUAAUUUUGAUCAAGCGAAGACAUGAUGUCUUCUUGAGCUUUAGAAGUGGUUUUAUUUUAAAGCAGGAAGAAGCCUACUGUAUUAGUUCCUUUUAAAUUCCUGUAUUCAGAUAACAGACAAAUGUGACUUUAAGAAAGGAAAAUCUAUUGGUCAGGGGAUACAGUCUUAUCAUAGCAUCCAUCUUGGAAAAUUCCAGGUCUGGCUUGCUCUCCACAUUUCUUCCAAAGAAUAAACAGAGAGGUCAGAUGAAAGAGGACUAGGUACCACUCCUAAACCUACGACCUCAGUAGUCUGUGCCAUUUAUACCUCACCUCCUACAGGUUCCAGAUCCUCCCCAAACAGUGUUAACAGGUGGAGGCGUAAGCAAGUGUUCAUACAUGAACCUAUGGGAGAUAUUUCAGAUUGAGACCUUAACAUUUAUUCUUCUGCAAAAGACUAAAUCAAUUCUCUUCAAAGCAUCUAUGGUUUUAAAAAUACUCUUAGGAAAAAUCAAACUCACUGGAGACAGUCUCUUUGUUAAAUGCAGUAAAAUUAGCUCUCAGAGAAAUGGAUUUUUAAAGACAGUUUAACCUUAUUUUAACUUCGUCAGCAGAUAAAAUUAGCCAAUUGGAAAUUGGUAAAAGUUUUGUAAGCGUGCGUGACUUAACCUGUUUACAGGCUAUAGUAUAACUUUUGGCAUGGUCUGCUAGUAUUUCAAGGCUGUCAACUAGUUCUUAUGCGGCCUGUUUGCUUCUUUUUUUCCCCUCAUAUAUGUUUCAAAAAUAGAAAGUACUUUAGAAUAUUGACUAGGUUAUUUAGCUCCAUUUCUGUUUAUAUGUUAUAAGGACUCUGAGGAUUUUAAAUAAUUAUUUUACUUUGAUGUACAAUCCUUAAAAGUGUGAGACAGUUUUUAAGGAGUAAAAAGAUGAACCCAAACAGAAUUUCCUUUGUUUAUUAAAAUGAAGUAACAUUUUAAGUAACCUGUGAACUUAAAUUACGCUGCCAUGGGUCUAAUUGCAGGAUGAGUUGAUUGUCCGUGUCUAGUGAAGUCAGGCAUGAGCCUCAGUGAAGUCCAUUUCAUCACUAGUUGCUCUUAAUGAGCCUUUAAACAUUAAAGCUUGAGUGCAUUACCGUUAGUUAAGGAAUAUUUGAAGACCAUUGUAGUUUGGGUAUAUAUGGCACUUUUUCUUUCUACAACGCCCUGUUUAGUAGUGACAGAACAGAUAGGAAAGUGCCACUUGUCUAUAUCUUGUGCUGUAUAUUGCUUGAUCUUCCUAGCCAUAAUAUUGCAACGAAGAAUAUCAGUUAUAAAACAUCUUCAGCUAUGUUAACAGCAUAUUGUUAGGUAAUUUCAUGAAUCUGCUGAGCUACUCAGUCUACCCUAGUAAUUGUAUUUUAUAUUUUUUAUUUAGUCCUUUAGCUGUGCAAUACUUCUGUCACAAUUUCCUGUUGCUCUUCUAUUUUAAAAUGACCUUUAAGACAGAUCAAAUUAUGUCUGUCCGUCCGUCUGUCUUGUUGGUCUGUCUGCCUGUCUAUCUAGGGACUUGAGAGAGAGUUCAUCAGUUAAGAGCACCUACAGAUGCUGUAGAGGACCCUACUUCAGUUCCUAGUGCCCAUGUUGUAUGGCUCACAAACUCCAGGGUAUUUAAUGCCCUUCCUUUUCUGGACCCCAUAGAUGUCAAUACUCUUGUGUAUAUAGUGAUGCACACAUAGAUACUCAAACACACACACAGAGAGAACUUAAAAAUAAUG